GCUGAGGCAGGAGAAUCACUUAAACCCGGGAGGCAGAGGUUGCAGUGAGCCAAGAUCGCACCACUGCAUUCUGGCCUGGGCAUGGGUCACAUUCAGGAACAGAGUGUCAAGAGAAGUAAGCAAGUCACAAAAGAAUAUAUGAUUAAGAUUUCAUUUAUAUAAAAACAAAAACAGAUAAAGCUAAGUAAUACACAGUUUACAGAUACAUUCAAGUGUGGUAAAACCAUCCAGAAUUUAGGUUGCUGUUCCCCCUGGGUGGAAGAGAAGGGCUCUCAGUGAGGAAGGACAUCCAGGGGGCUUCAAUGGUGCCAGUAAUACUCAAUUUCUUAGGCUCAGUAGUGAGUGCAUAGGCAUCUGGGUUUUGUUGUUGUUGCUUUAGUUUUUUUGUUUGGUUGGUUGGUUGGUUUUGUUUUGUUUUUUCUCUAAACCCUAUGUGUACAUUUCGCAUACUUUUACAGACACAGGAUGAAAAUCAUCUAGCCAUUGCAUGCUAAAUUUUCCCAGCAGUGAUAAAUGUUCCCCCUUCACAUAGACUGGGCUGUUGGAAUAUCUUUAUUUGUGCAGCUAGUUUUCUGAAAGAGGAAAAGCCAAAUUCUUCAUUGGUAUUUGCUUGGUAUCUUGGUUUACCCCGAGGGCUCAUCCCUUCUUUGUUGGACUUCCAGGGAUGCAGAGCUCAAUCAAAGGCAGAACCAAACUGCAUUGCUCCUGGUUCUGGGGCAGUAAUGGGAAACUUCCUCUUAUCCUGGUUUUUCAUACUCCUAGAAUGGAAAAGGAAGGACAGAACUCAUCCACUAAGGACACUAAGUAUGGCACAAAGAGUCAGGGAGAUCUCCUCAGGAGUUGGCUGCCCUGAUCCCCAUGAACCCCUGCAAAGGCAUGGCCCUCAGACCACAGUCUGACAGUCAAGAGUCCAGAGCAGAUACCAGAAGAGUUAUCGCAUCAAGUGGAUUUGGUUCUCAGAGACCAGAGUACUGGUACUAGGUCACUCAGUAAGUCACUUCACUUAUCUCAUGUGUGCUCUGAGAAUAAUGACAGAGUUACUGCUCACAGAGCCAGGCUGAGGGGCAGCCGCAAUCACAGGACAGUACUGAAAUCAGAUCCUGUGUACUGAGACCUUGCCUUGGGCCAUGCCCCAUAAUGAGUGCUUUUCCGGCACUAUCUUGUGAACUUGUCUUCCUCUUUUCCAUUUUGUUCUGAGGCUUCAGAGUCUAGUGGGAGAGGAAAUGCUAGAGAUGACCUCCCUCAUCCACCUCUUUCCCUUCUUCCUAGUGAGUAGAUGGAAUGUGCCAGCUUCUCCAAUCUGUGCUUUUUUCUGGAAGCUUUGGAAGAAUAUUGAGAUUUGUCCAGGAGGCCUUUUGAGUGGGACUGGACUUGUUACUGAAAAGGUUCACUUCAGAGGUACACAGGUGGAGGGGUACCCAGGACAGGGAAGGGUGCAGGUACUAAGCACUCACCAGUAGGAGCAGUUUCUACCUCAUGACAGCUGUAGAGCCCUGUUAUCUCUGGAAACAGUAAGUAGAGUUAUCUGGUGGCAGGACUUAGUGUGUUGUGGUUUUAGGAGAGUGUUGAAGGUCUGGGAUGAGCUCUGGGCUGGAGGAAGGAGUUGGAAGACAGCAGUGAACGAGCUAUAGGGCAGCACUGUAGCCUGUUGUGGUUGAGGGAGCAGAGAAGGCACAUCAUCAGAUUCACCACAGCUGGGCUUUUGGACAGGGAAGAAUUCAAAGGAAAAAGGAGAGAACUGAAGGCACCAGCAUGGUACAGCAUCUUUGGCAUCAGACAAACCUGUGUUCUAUAUACGUGGCUUCACCACCACGUAUAGAAGUAAUGCUUGAUUUUGGGGGAAAUCUCUCUAAGCUUGAGUUUUCUCAUCUGUCCUAUGAAAAAAAAAAUACCACCUCUUAAAAUUGUGAAAACAGAAACCUAUAAUUUGUGACAUGCAUGGCGCUUAGUAAACACUGCGUGAAACCUGUUCCCAUUCCUUUCUUAUAACAGAACAGAGAUUUAAAGGUAAGUCCUGUCCCAGGGGAUCUGCCCAUCUUCAUAUGGGACAGCUAAAAGGGGAAUGUGGUACUGGUGUCAGGGAGUAGCUGCUGGGCUGGAGAUUUCAGAAGUCAUGAUAUUCUGGGUGCAACUUUACUGCUCUAAGAAGGAAUGGGAGUGUUGACAUUGGAAGGGAAGACUGAGCACAUUCAGAGCGAUUUGAAAUAUGGCAUGGUCAGGAGGGCAGUGGGUGUGAGCAGCAGAGGGAGGGGCGUGUGUCUCUAGGGGAAUGAAAGUAUUAUGCUGAGGUGGCAGGAGAAUGGCCUGGGAGCAGCAUGGAGGAACCUUGGGGUUGGUACAGGAUGAAGCUGAGGCAGGAGUAGAAAGGCCCUUCCUUUCCAGAGGGCCUUAGGGAAAGGCAAUGUGCAUGGAAAGCCAGGAUACUUAUUGGAGGGUAGAGGUUUCUGUGGCUUGACUGGGCAUCUGGUUCUUCCAUGAGAGGCAGGUGCCAGUUCUUCUUGUAUCUAAAAACUGCCUCCUUCUUUCUCCCUUCACUUCUCUCAUUCCCUGUGAACACAUACUAACUAGGCCCCUCCCUUCCUUCUGAAACCCGACCUCCUCAGGAAGCCUUCAAAGUUUGCAGUCUCCAGAUUCCUCACCCAGGAUGCAAAGGCAGCCCUCAGACUUCUGACCUUUGCAAUUCUUGUCAUUCCAACCUCCAGAGCUUUGCACCACUUUUCUGGAGCUACAACUCAAGGAAUCAGUCCCACUUAUUUGUCUCUUGGCCUUUACCUUGACAGUGAGGUCUCAAUGACAAUAAACUCAACCCUGUGCCUUGAGCUUUAAGAGCUACUUCAUCUCCUCUCUGUAUGCGGAAACAUGGAAAGAAAAGCUGUUACAGGAAUAGAAGAUUCAGCUUGGACCAGCUCUAGAAAGCAGCAUCACCUAGGAGUCAUGGGUGCUCUGGAUGCUGCUUUUGUGUCUCCAUAGCAAGCCCAGGCCCUGCAUUAAUCUUUGUCAUCUUAGUUGUCCAGCUUUUCCAUGGUCUGCUCCCUAGGGCCUAUAUUGAGCUGCUCUAUAUGACCUUGACCAUCCAGGAAACAACAGCUCUCCUUAGACCUGAAUCCUUGUUCCAAGGAACCCAAAUCCAUGUUCACCUGCCACCCUUCUUGCUUUUGUGAACCACAGAAGAGCAGGCCCCCAGAGUCUGUAGAACCUACUCAUUACCUAACUAAAAUGUUCCAUUGCUGGGCACAGGGAUCUUAAGCUCCCUUCACCAGUCUUCAGCUAAGACCCUAGUGCUCCUUCUUGGGCCCUAAGUGAGGGACGUAGUCUCUUUAGGGCUGAGCCAGCUUCUGGCAAAGCAGAAGAAAGGAAAACCUGUAAACUAAGUAAUGGAGCACAUAUACCCAAAGUCUUUUAGUGUGUUUCCCUGGAAGAUACCCAUAAGGGAAUGUGAAUUUUGCUUCUCUGCAUUAGCUGAUAAUUUAUUCACUUGUUUUUCUAAUUCUUAUGCAAAGACUGCAUCUGAUGCCUCAUUUCCCUCUGAGGCUCUGGGAGGUUACUUUGGCUUCCUCAGAGCACAGAGCUCAGCAUACAAAU